rnacentral:rRNA from 1 species
UAUAAUGGGUCAGCGACUUAUAUUCUGUAGCAAGGUUAACCGUAUAGGGGAGCCGCAGGGAAACCGAGUCUUAACUGGGCGUUAAGUUGCAGGGUAUAGACCCGAAACCCGGUGAUCUAGCCAUGGGCAGGUUGAAGGUUGGGUAACACUAACUGGAGGACCGAACCGACUAAUGUUGAAAAAUUAGCGGAUGACUUGUGGCUGGGGGUGAAAGGCCAAUCAAACCGGGAGAUAGCUGGUUCUCCCCGAAAGCUAUUUAGGUAGCGCCUCGUGAACUCAUCUUCGGGGGUAGAGCACUGUUUCGGCUAGGGGGUCAUCCCGACUUACCAACCCGAUGCAAACUACGAAUACCGAAGAAUGUUAUCACGGGAGACACACGGCGGGUGCUAACGUCCGUCGUGAAGAGGGAAACAACCCAGACCGCCAGCUAAGGUCCCAAAGUCAUGGUUAAGUGGGAAACGAUGUGGGAAGGCACAGACAGCCAGGAUGUUGGCUUAGAAGCAGCCAUCAUUUAAAGAAAGCGUAAUAGCUCACUGGUCGAGUCGGCCUGCGCGGAAGAUGUAACGGGGCUAAACCAUGCACCGAAGCUGCGGCAGCGACACUAUGUGUUGUUGGGUAGGGGAGCGUUCUGUAAGCCUGCGAAGGUGUGCUGUGAGGCAUGCUGGAGGUAUCAGAAGUGCGAAUGCUGACAUAAGUAACGAUAAAGCGGGUGAAAAGCCCGCUCGCCGGAAGACCAAGGGUUCCUGUCCAACGUUAAUCGGGGCAGGGUGAGUCGACCCCUAAGGCGAGGCCGAAAGGCGUAGUCGAUGGGAAACAGGUUAAUAUUCCUGUACUUGGUGUUACUGCGAAGGGGGGACGGAGAAGGCUAUGUUAGCCGGGCGACGGUUGUCCCG